UGUGUGAAUGGGUGAAUGUGACUUGUAGUGUAAAAGCGCUUUGAGGAAGACUAGAGAGGCGCUAUAUAAGUACAGUCCAUUUACCAUUUACCAUGUGUAGGGAUACAGUAAUUCGCAACCUAAGAAUGUGGGAGGAGGGUAAUGGCCCUUUGGAGCCCCUACAUCUGGCACCCUUGGCUUACACAGUGGACUUGGGCACAUGAGUGUUGAGUGUUGAGCGCGCUUUGCCCUGGUCUGUGCACACUCAGAUCCCACCUGCUCUCACUUGACUUCCCUUCUGCUUACGAUUGACUCACUGUCUGCUUGCACUCAACACCUUAUUGAUAUGAAUGAUUGAAGGUCUUCUGAACAAAUCAGAGCUCCGCGUUUUGUUACAUUGCUGCCGAUUGGCUAGUUUAGUAAAACUGGGUGGAACCACCCUCAUCACUGCUCCAGUGGUCAUGGAGCAAUGACAGGAUCGUGGGACGCAGAGUGGACAGAAGACAUGACGAUGUCGUCGUAGGAUUAUACACAUAAAUAGAGGACAUUGGCGUUUCCUGACCAUGUCGCUGCUAAUGUUACUCCUGUCACUGUCAGCAUCACACAAGAAGCCAAGUGUUCCACCACACCACACCAGCACCACCCUCCACCAGAAAGCCAAGUCCUCGCAUGGGGCAGGUUCAGUGUGAUCAUCAGCCUUGGACCAUGAGGAUUGUGGAGUCUGCUUCAAAAUUUUCUCAAUAACUAAUUUUGCAUCUGAUUCAUGCAUGAAGUCUUUUCAAGUUAAACUGUUAAUUGAGCGGGUCAUAUUUUAUGUAUUAUUUUGUAUUUCGUAUUGAUUUAACAAUGAAUAAAUAUAUACAUUGUG